rnacentral:rRNA from 1 species
GACGAACGCUGGCGGCGUGCCUAAUACAUGCAAGUCGAACGCAGUGGGGACGGGUGAGUAACACGUGGGUAACCUCCCAUCAGAGGGGAUAACACUUGGAAACAGGUGCUAAACCGAUACUGAUGGAUGGACCCGGGGUGCAUUAGAUAGUUGGUGGGGUAACGGCUCACCAAGGCCACGAUGCAUAGCGGACCUGGGAGGGGGAUCGGCCAACAUGGGACUGGGACACGGCCCAGAAUCCUACGGGAGGCAGCAGGAGGGAAUCUUCGGCAAGGGACGAAAGUCUGACCGAGCAACGCCGCGUGAGUGAAGAAGGUUUUCGGAUCGUAAAACUCUGUUGUUAGAGAAGCGGUAUCUAAACAGAAAGCCACGGCGAACUACGGUCCAGCAGCCGCGGUAAUUC